GUCCAGAAAGAACGUGGCUAGUCUGAUUGAUUAGAAAUGCAAACAAAUUGCUCAUCUAAAUCUAGUACGCUAGGUGGUCUGCUCACGAAACGAACGUCUGCCCUCGGGUGGCGAACCACUUUUUUGUGGAAAACACACUACCGCGUUCUCCUGUUUUCAAUCGUUUUCUAUCAAAGAGCAAGAGUAGUUCAGUGUGCUC
ensembl:ncRNA T04G9.8 ncRNA